AACAUGACUCUCGGCAAUGGAUAUCUCGGCUCUCGCAUCGAUGAAGAGCGCAGCGAAAUGCGAUACU
rnacentral:rRNA from 1 species